CCUGACCCCACCAAGUCGGCCACAGCCCCGAAAAAGGGUUCCAAGAAGACUAUUACUAAGGCAAGAAGCGAAAGCGCAGCCGCAAGGAGAGCUGCUCCGUGUACUUGUACAAGGUGCUGAAGCAGGUCCACCAACACCGGCAUCUCGUCCAAAGCAAUGGGGAUCUUGAACACCUUCGUUAUGCCAUCUUCGAGCGUAUUGCGGGCGAGGCUUCCCGCCUGGCGCGUUACAACAAGCGUUCGACCAUCACCUCCAGGGAGAUCCAGACGGCUGUUCGCCUGUCACGCAUGCUGUGUCCGAGAGCACCAAAGCCGUAACCAAGCACACCAGCUCCAAGUGA
rnacentral:lncRNA from 1 species